AGGUCUAUAACUAACGCCAGCUUUCCUGUAACACAAGUUCUAGAGCAUCCAGUGCCCUUUCUGGCCUCCACUGGCAAUAGGUAUGCACAGAUAUAUAUGCAGGGAAAAUAUCCAAACACACACACACACACACAAAUUUUAGGAAAUUAUGGAGUGAGGAGAAAUGAGAGUGCAUGACUGGGAAUUUCAAGCUUAUCUCUACGGAAUCCCUCAUCCAUUUCCUUUUUCGCUUUUGGUCACUGACAGUAUUACCAGGGUCUAUUAUCUCUUGCUUUCUUGCUAAGGACCCAGUCACACCAACCCUCUUCCCCAGCACCGUAUGGCAUCUGCAUAGACCAGAACACAUCAUUCCUAUCCUGCAAAAUAAAAUUCUCCCUGAGUGUGGUGGCAAAGGCCUUUAAUCCCAACACUCAGGAGGCAGAGGCAGGAAGAACUCUCUGAAUUCAAAACCACCCUGGUCUACAUAUCAAGGUCUAGGACAGCCAGGGUCACAUAGAAAGACCCUGCCUCCCAGACUCUUCAGCCUCAUGUCACUGCCUGCUAUCCAAAUUUUGUUCCUAAUGGAACAUUUCCUUGUCUUUGCCUCACAACUUCAUCUGUCCUCAUUCUCCUUUAUCCUUUCUGCCCUACUUACUCAAAUGGUCACUCCUCUAAAUCCUCAGUUUCCUUCCUCACUUCCUCUAGCAUUUGUCCAGCACAGUUUUCCUCUUUGGCUUAAUGUCACACAAACAAAAUCUUCUCUAAAAAUAUGUUGUUCACCAGCUAAGAACUGUAUGUAAAGGGAUAGAGAAGAGCCCUCUGAAAGAUUAGGAUGAAGGGCACAAGUCACUUACCUGUCCUUGACUUGCAAUAGGUAGCAGACCAAGCAGUAGCCAGCACAGCUUUGCACAAAAUUGCGCUGGGCACUGAGGAAUGCCUCAGUGGUAUAACUGCCAUGUUCCUGUAGGAAGUAAUCGAGCAAGGAGAGCUGUGACUGUUUCUUCACCUGGUGGAUGGACACAGCGUUGACUACUGGUUCAAUCAUGCCACUGUCAGCUGAAAUCACAAGAAUCUUAUAUGGCUUGAUCCAAAGAGGCACUCGCUCCUGUUCCCAAAUGGACUGUGAAGAGACACAAAGUUGUUUCAACACCUGGAAAGCCAGCAGCUCCUGGCGAAGGUCAUCUCCACACUUGACAAUGACUGAAAGGAGUCGCCAAUUGGGAAGAUGGCCAUACGGGGAACCUUCUCUGAUCCUCCUGUGAAGAAAAAAGUCACAGGAUGAUGCCAGGGUAAGGACUCAGACCACAGAGGAAGCCUGAUGAGUGUUUAGAUGUAGAAGGGCAAUGGAAGAGGUGAGCACCUGAAGAUACCUUGGAAUAUGAGGGAGGUACUGAGACCACUGUCUACCCUCUACCCUCCUCACCGCACUUUCUCCUGCCAGGGCUCUUUGAGGGCAACUGCAGAAGGGUCUUCAGGGUCUCGUUUGAAGGCUGUAGGAGUAUGAGCCAGCUGUUCUGAAAGGCGCCGUCUAGCAGG
rnacentral:lncRNA from 1 species